rnacentral:lncRNA from 1 species
UGACGCCCGGUGGUCCUGAUGGCGGCUUGGGCCGCAAAGUACCACACAGGGCCACACAAUGCAUACCGGGGGGCUCUGAACGUCCCCCGAUAGGCAACCGCCUCGGGCGCCGUGUCCCACGCCCUGCCCUGCCCUGUCCCCCCUGGACCGCCACCCGCACCUCCACCUCCACUUCUCACUUCCUCGCCCUCCUGGCCUCGUGGCUGCAGGGCGAGAUGGCCAGGAAGUUCACGGCCGAGUAGUGAGUCCGCCGAGGCCCCCCGCACCCGCACCCGCACUGGAGCACCUACUCUCUGCUGGUUGGGGGGAGGGAGGCGGAGUAGACGGGGAAGGCGAGGGGAUGGGCGGACGAGAGGCCUGAGGCUCCGAAGGUAUGGACGUUUGCGCACUCCCUGACCUGUGCCGUAUGCACCCGCUCGCGUGCAGCAUCGAGGCGCACCCGCCUCCCGAGGACGAGGUGGGUCAGCGGGCGGGGCAGUGGGUUGCAGCUGUAAAAUGGAAGGCGCACGGCGGCGUGCGUUGUGGCUAGUGGGAUAGCGGUGGUGUCGUAAUGGGUGCUGGGUAGUGGGUGAUGGCUAUCGAGUAGUGGCUUGUAGCUAGCUAAUGGGCGGUGGCUAGUGGAUAAUGGGUGGUGCGCCACCCACAGGGUUAUGCAGGACUCAUACCGGACCGGAGCAGAGCAGGAGGAGCAUGUGCCGCCGUACAUUGAGUGGGCUAGCUGCUCCGACUGUGAACCAGGCCCUCCCUUCAUCCCCUAUCCCAUAGUACUAUCACUUGCAACUAACGCCUCUACCUGUGCUCCGCUCGUGUUAGCUUGGUUAGUUUGGGCUGGUAUAUACAACCCCCCCUCCACCCUCCGCACUGCCCUCAGGACGACCUGCCCGCCUACAUCGCGCAGCACCUGCGUGAGCUCAACCGCGUCACUGAGCGCUGGAGCGGCUGUGUGGUGAAGGCGCUGGACCCGCUCAGCCACCAAAUGGCCAUUGACGACCGACUGCAGGUGCGCGGGCCCUGCCGGACUGUGUAUGCGAGGUGGGGGUGUUAUGUGCCCGAGCCCGACGAUUCAAGUCCCAUAAUCAUCAGAAAGCCCGCUCAAUAACGACAGUGCGGGGCAAGCGCGCCGGAAAUGACGUUCAGUCUCGGCCAUGUUGUGGUGGCUGUGUGGGUAGUGAGUAGGGCAUGUCCAGCUGGGUCACUGGGAAUCUCAUAGCCAAACUGUAUUAUUGUCCGCACAUCGCCCCGGCUCGGCACAAGUCACGGUCUAUGCUGGUACUCCGAUACCAAGCCCAAAAAAUGGGGAUGUGUGGAGGGGGGCCGCGGCUGCGCUGCUGACAUACCGUGCACCGCCUUAACGCUCGUCCCUAUGUCCAUUUUCCUCGGCCGCACACCAUACCUUCCUAUGGCCGCUGUGUUGCUCCCCACAGCGCCAGCGGCAGCGGGCUGAGGGACUGCCGGUGGAGUCGUUGGACAUGGACUUUGCCAUGAGGCCGGGACUGGUGAGGGGCAGGGGGGAGUAGGGGAGAUUGGGAAGUGGGGAGGUGGGGCGCGGGUUGACAAGGGGCUUGGAGCGGCAGCUGGAUGGUGGAGGGGGGGGGGUCGUACAGGCGGGGCAGGUACAGAGACGUAGGGACCAAGUCCAGGCGCACAUGGACAUAAGUUGCUUGAUGAUACCGCGUCGUGAUCACGACCUGACCUGCCACUGCCGCCCUGCAGUCGCCUGCAGCCACCGACUCGCCCACUGCGGCGCCCGCUGCCAAGGCUGCCCAGCCGCCUGCGCCGCCUCCUCGCCCUGCUGACGAUGGCGACACGCGGCUGACCAGCAGCCAGAUCGUGUCCGCGGUACACCUGGUGUCCGACAUCAAGGUGUGGGAGGAGAUCCUGGCGGCCAAGAAGGCCGAGGAGCGCCGCCAGCACGCCAUCGCCGAGCUGCACCUGCACCACGCCGCGCGCAUCAUCCAGGUAAGGGGGGGGGGGCGAGGGAAAGCUGGAGCGGGUGGAGGCUGGGGCGUGUGUUGAGUCGGCGUGAAGGGGCACUGAUUGCUGGUCACCACAUGCCCCACGCGGCUGCAGCCCGCACACCCGUCCGCUUACCCUAAACACACAGUAUGUAUGUCAUGCACCACCCGCCGCAGCGCUCCUGGCGCUCCUUCAUCGGGCAGCGCAAGGAGGAGAAGGCUCGGCUGGACAGCCUGGUGUCGCCGGACGUGCAGGUGGGGGGGGGUUGAGGCGCAGGGGGUGGGAGGGACGCGGGAGGGGGCAUGUGGGGCGGCAGCUGCUCCGAGCGCUGUGGUUGCUCCCGUAUGCAAGGAGUUACUGCGGCGCCUCAGAACGGCCGCAACAGGCAAAAAGACACACAACGAAAGCGACCCUCACUACCUAGCCAAAGGGCGAUCUGCAAUAAGUGCAUGGUAUCAUCAGGAAGAUGAUCAGGAAGUGAAGCAAGGCUGGGCGGAGUCCGUCCACAUAUCUGCUGGCAACCCGAAUCGCAAUGGGGUUUUUGGGCAUUUCUGCUACGCUCGUCCCAUGCGUCAGCUGGCUGCCCCCGCGCAGCCCUAGCGGCUGCUGGUCUGCGCUCCCCCGCACCGCCACCAGUCACUUGCCGCAUGCUGCGUCCUACCUGUGCUGGGCGCGUGGCCACGUGCGCGUGCCUCGGGCUGGGGUUGACUGGUUGAGGGCAACUUCGCCCACUCAGGAUGGGGCCUGCCCAUGGCAGGUCCUGGGCGUGGGUGCGGCACUGCCGCGGGCGAUGCGUAAACUUGGAUGAACCUUACCACUCCGCUGCGCUCAUGCGGUCGCCCCCGCCCGUGCAGGCCAUGCUGAGUGCCGCCGCCUACAAGGCCAUGAGGGACGCGCGCAACAAGCUGCAGCUCACACGCCUGCGCAAGAGCCUCAGCAGGCGGGCGCGGGUGGGCGGCUUCGGCUCAUCCGCACGUGAGUACAGGCGGAUGCACAGGGGCUAGGGUGCUACCAGGGCAGAGGGCACAGCGCGGCUAGGGUGAGGGAAUGUACCCUCCUUUCAAAGGAGAGCCCGCGGAGUUUCUGUAUCGAUUUUGCAUCCUCGUUCCUUUUCGACCUGCUCAUGAACUAGCGCCCACUCAUGGAAUGGAACCGCACAGCCCGAGACCUGGACCGGACGGUCAAGCCGCAGCCGGGAGGGGGCGGGGGCCCGGGCGUGGGGCCGAACCCGCCCGCCGGCCGCCGGCCGCCCAAGGCUCCUGCCGGCCCUCGGGGGGCGGCUGCGGCGGCCGGUGAAGCCCGGCGCAGCAGCCGGGAUGUUUCAGGUGCUCCCUCUGGCUCCAGGUGCGGUGUGUGAGCGCGGGAGGGGGUAUGGGGCUUGGACUGAGGCGGCAGGGGAGGGGGCAGCAUGUGUAGGCGGUCAUCCCUGCGCGUGUGCGAGACCGGCACUCAGGACUCCCCUCUCACUGCAGGUCGGCAUUGGACAGCGCGGGCGGUGCAGACUCGCAGUGGGAGGGGGACGGCCGCGAGCAGGCGGACAGGGGCUCGUCGGCCGGCGGCGACAGUGCACUCGCAGGCGGGCUGAGCCGCAGCGCCUCACGCCGCACCGGCAGCGCCAACAGCGGGCGAGGCCUGGUGCGGGCGAGCUCCAGCGCAGCCCGCUCGGCGCAGAUUUUCAAACGCCUGGUGUCUCUCAAGGGGGACCCGCAGGAGGGCAGCCUCGGCCGCGGCGGCAGCGAACGCGGCAGCGACAUGGGUGGCGGCAGUGCGCUGCAGGAGGGCGGCGAGGGUGCGGGCGGCGAGGGCGAGGAGGGCUGGACGGAGGGCGUGCCGCGGGCCGCUGCUGGCCGGUACGCCGCGGCUGAGGGCGAGGAUGAGGACCAGGGCGAUGAGGAGGAGGGCGGCAACUUCGACGACAUGCAGCCCGAGCCGCUGCCCGAGGGCGAGGAGGGCGACGAGGAGGGGGAUGACGGCGAGUGGGAGGAAGCGGAUGGUGAGGAGGACAGGGAGGAGGAUGCGGACGGCGAGGGCGGUGAGGCGGCUCUUCAGGGGCUGCUGCGGCCCGAGGAUGCGGACCAGGCUGUGGCGGAGGCGGAGGAGGUGGUGGAGAUGGCCGCGGCGCUGGCGGAGGCGUUCCUGGGUGGCUUGGGCGAGCAGGACCAAGAGGGCCAGGAGGACACCUGCGAAGCGGAUGAGGAUUUCCAGGGCGAGGAGGGUGGAGCGGACCCUGGGGCUUCAGCAACAGCUGGUGCUACACAGGAGCAGGCACAGGUAGCGGUAGGCACUGCAGGUGCCAUGGCGGCCGCGGGAGCAGCAGCAGCGGGCGCGGCGACGGGGCCUCAUGUACCCAGCGCACCCAAGGCGCCACGCCCGCCGGCACGUGGCGAGGCCGCUGCACGUGCCCCGGCCCCUCGCCGUGGCGGCCGCACAUCGGCGCUGUCCAUGUCGUCCGACACCGCGGCCAUGAGGCACGUCAUUGCGGGGGCGCUUGCGGCGGCGGCGGCGCCCGUGCUGGGCCGCAGCGGCGCACUGGCCGUGGCGCGCCUGGGUCUGGGAGAGCCGCUGGCCCCGCCGCACCGGCUCAGCGGCGCGGGCGGCAGCACAGGCAACCUAGCCGGUGGCGGUGGCCUGCCCGCCAGCACCGGCGCGCUGGCAGCGAGUGGGGCGUCCCGGCGCGCGGUGCUGGGCACUGCCGCGCCGACAGGGCCGCAGCCACAGCGUGUGGGCCGGCUGCGGGCGGGCGCGGGCAGCCCGGGUGCGGACCGGGUGUCCGGGUCCGGAGCCGGGGGCCAUCCCAAGGCGCUCACGCCGUCCGCGAUUCGCGCGGAGGCAGAGGCUGGCCUCAUGGCGGCGGCAGCUGGCGGCGGUGGUGAUGGCCUUGACGACUCGGGACUGGUGUCAGCUGACUGGGCGGCGGCUGCAGCCAGUGCCGCUGCGGCCGCGGGUGCUGCGCUGGUGAGCGGCGGCAGCAGCUCGGGGCCUCUGGGUCCGCGUGCGAGCGGCUACUCCAGCAGCAGCCUGGCGGGAGUGCACCUGGAGCCGCUGGCAGCGGCCGCGUCACCAAGGGCCAGUGGCUCGGGCGCGGCAGCUCUGAUGCGCUCACCGCGGCCCAGUGACAGCGGCGUGGGCGGCACACUGCAGGCGCUAUCGCCAGCGGGCAUGCCGGACCCGCUGCUGGCUCAGGUCCGGCUGCCGCGGCAGUCGGACGGCGCCGCGCCCAGCUCGCCGUUGCCGCUGCCGCCGCUGCCCGGCACGCACAUGGCAACAGGCGACGACGCGGUGGGCGGCCUGACCGGCACCGCAGCCGCCCGCCACCAGCCGCAGCCCCGCGUGUCGGCCACUGGACAGGCGCAAGGUCCGGGAGCGGGUCCGGGCGAGGCGCUGGACGUCCUGUCCUCACCCCAGGCCAGUCCCACGGGCCACCUGGGGGGCGCUGCGCCUGUGGUGGCUGGCUACCAGCAGCAAUGGGCGAUGCCGCGUCAGCCGCAGCCGCCACUCACCCAGCAGCGCACCGCGGCGCAACCCACCCACCACCAUCCGCAGUCCCACUACAACCAUGCCGCGUACCACCCGCCGACCGGCGCCGCCACCAUGGCCUCCGCACUGCCCGAUCCCCGCAACGUCACCGCGCCCGGCGCCGUCGGGGCGGCAGCGGCGGCCGCACACAAGGACCCCUCCUGGCUUCUGCCACCCAUUGCCGGCUCCCCGAGCCGCAGCGCCACGGGACCGCCGGGGCUGGGCGCGCAGGCCGCUGCGGUGGCAGCACUGCGGGCUGGCGCGGGGGUCGGCGGUCUGGCGGCGGGAGUUGUGGGCGUGAGCCGCACUGCCUCCGACCCCUUCAUGCAGCGCCCGCACGGCUUGGUGGCACAGCAGCAGCAGCAGCAGCAGCAGCAGCAGCAGCAGCAGGCUCAGGGUCAGGGCCAGCCGCUGCGGGCCUCGCACGCGGGGGCCGCCAGCAGUGCACUGGGCGGCCCGGCCAGCCCCGGCCUGGCCUCCCGCGCCAACCUGGGGCAGGGCGCGAUGGCGGCGGCGGCCUCGGGGCAGCGGGCGCGGCGCUCCAGCCUGGUGGGUGGGAGCGUCUCAGGCGGUGUGGAGGGGCCGCUGGGGGCGCUCAUUUCGCUGUCCAGUGGCGUCGUGGGGCCGUCCGCUCACGGCGGCGCCUCGCCCGUGCGGCUGGCUGGCCGCGCGGCUCGCAGCUCCGUGGGCUCGCCCGGCAUGCUGCCCGCGCCCAGCCCCAGCCAGUUGCAGGUGCAGCACAACCGCCUGACGGUGUCAGUGGACAGCAGCAGCUACCCGCACUCAGGCUCGGUGUCGCUGAUGGGCGUGGCAGGCAGCGGUCUGCUCAUCAACGGCAUCUCGGGCGGGGGCGCCAGCCUGGUGGCGGCACGAGGCGCAGGCGGCGACACCUCGCCGCCACUGGUAUCCAGUCAGCUGAAGGGUGGUGGCGGCGCGGCGGGCGGCGCGGGGGCAGCACGGCAACAGCAGGUGCAUGCAGGGCGGCGGUGAUGCCGGUCAGCUGCGAGCAGCGCCAUGCAACUACCGUAGUCGAGGGGACAACACAAGUCGGGGUCUCGGAGGGGUAGUGCAGGGUAGUGGCACUUGAGCGCAGUGUGACCUUGUGGAUGUGGUAUUAAGCAAGGCAUUUGGUGCUUGGUAAUGAUAAUCCGUAGUGCGACGGAUGUCUGGUUGCCGCUGCAUACAAUUAGUUAUUGAAUUUGCCCCUUUGUAACUAUGGAAGGAUUCUGACCUGUGGUGACGUGUGUGGUGACGAUGUGCAGGCUCGUGGCGCUGCAAAGCGUUAUCAAUGUUAGCCACCGUAAAUUUAGCGUUUGCUUUGGAGAUACUUGGUGGCGAUGGUGGCGAGUAGCGACCAAUGGUGCUUGAUGAAUCGCCCUUAUCAAUAAAUCAUUAAUGCAUGGCAGCCAUACCGUACCUGAUGCAAUGGUGCCGUGACCUCAUCUGUGUGCCGGUAUGUCCGUGUAAUACGGUACUCGCAAUGAACACUAUAUGUGUCAGUAAUUGACGCAUGCCACAUAAGAACGGGAGCCUGGACGUACCGCCCAUCGCGAGGGGGUCCACACCUGCGCAGGCCACCGCAUCCCGCUAGGCGAGGUGGUGGCAAGCACCCUCUGGUACAUCACUAGGUUGGCCCAGCGGAUUAACCCAGGCGUGAUUUUGGCGGGUUUGCCCCAGGGAGGGCCGAGUGAUCGAGACGGCGGACAUUGAGCGUGUUGUCCAGCGGCAAGUUUAUCGGCAUUAUCAAGAGAAAGUGAGUUGAGGAACGGUGUGGGAUGUGGGUGCGGGUCCACUGCCGUCACGACUCCCGCCACCCACGACGCCACAGCAGCGCCACCGCCACGAACCAGAACACCACAAAGGUGCCGGUGGACACCAUGUCGGUAAGCUCUGUGCGAAUGAGGUGAAUACAUGUUUUCAAGUUAGCGCAGGCUUUUAGGGAGGGGGCAGUACUACGGCAAAGACCACAACCCCAAGGCAUUGCCCCACUCCUGCUGGCCCCCAAGUCGCCCCAGUGCCCGCUGACCCUGGUUAGUGUUCACUAAGGCACUGAAGCCUCUGCGCUGUGUAGCGUUGCACUGCCUGGGACUCCGACUGUACGAGAGGCGCGUGCACGUUGCGGAUGGCAUCGGGCAGCACUGGGCCAGCAGACGUCGUGCGGUAGCAGUGUUUUUUUGUGUGGGCUUGAGGACAAGAAAUCUCUUACCUGAGGCCGCAAGCGUCUACUUUAUCUCCCGGAUAUACUUAGGGUCAGUUCGUACAGGCCCGGCCCGCCAUGCGUCCAGCCGCGUCCCGCUGCCAAGCACAAGCACGCAUUUACGCAUUUCAAAGCACAGCCAGCAAUCAACCAAACAGCAGGAACUCCUCUAGCCACAACAUUCCUCACUGCUGCGGCCUACCACAUACUGUGCGGUGCUAUGCUCGCCAGCAAAGACCGCUAACCAGACACCGGCCGGCCUCAACCUGCGCGCCGGCGCCGCUUCUUGGGCAACGCCGCGCUGUCCUCCACGUGGCCUUGCUCGCCCCCUCCGCUACGCACAUGCACGCCGCAACUGCUGGGCCCAGGCCCUGCGCCGCCGCCGGGCCCCGCGCCGCUGCCGCUGCCGCUGCUGCUGCUGCUGCUGCUGCUGCUGCUGCUGCUGCUGCUGGUGGUGGUGGUGGUGGGGCCAUGCCUCACAACAGCCAAUUCUCCAUGGACGCGCGAAGUCGCUUCUCGCUCCGGCUGGAUAUUCUUCUAGCUGUGGGCUUUAGGAAAACCGUUGCCCCGGACUAUGUGCAUGAAGCAUUGAGGGAACGGCUCAUGGGACCUGCUUGGCGGGACCGGUGGUUGCGGGCUGGGCUUCGGGAGGUGGCGGGCGAGUGGACGAGUGUGGACGGGCACGUUGCAGGUUGCGGCGAUGAGCAAGUUUUGAAACCCAAUAAAUCUGCCCCUUGGUGCAAGCUUUGGAGCUUCUGUAUAGAGUACAAACCUCGCAAUACAUUGGCAGGGAGCAUAGAAGUCGCAAAUGCUCCGACAAACCCCACGGCGAACUACAAGAGGAUAGCCCGUUGCCAUCACAAGGCUACAAACAUGAGCUUAACAAUGGAAGACUGCGGCCGCGUGGUCAAGUAUGUUAUAGACUCGGGCGCAUUUGACGAUGUUCGCAGGACGGUGAGUGCUGGAGCGCGGAGGGGCGACUGGCAGGUUGUAUGAUGUAGUGUCAGCGGGCUCAUAACGCUGCGAUGCCUGCAGGUAUGGAAUGAGCUGAAGCAGAGCUCCAGCCUGCGGGCCGCCGUGCUCGCGGAGGUGGAGAAGAGUGUCACCUUGAACUCCAACAGCGACAAGCGGCCAAAGGACACAAAGCAAAUCCUGGAUGACCUCAACCGCGAGCUUAAGUAAGUGCCGCGCUGGACGGGGGGACUGGCUGGCGGGGGGGGGGGGGGGGGCUAGACCGACGUGCUGGAGGGUGGAAGAGGCACACACGCAGGUCGGGACUUGGGGCACGGGAUGGGCGAACCAGCCAGCCUUAUGCACUCUUACCCGUGUGCCAGCGGCCGUAGUGUUGCGUUCGAGGGAUCAACACAAAAUCGACUGCAUCCCCUUGGUCUGGCGUGUGCAUGUGGUGACGAUGCCCCACGCCUCGCACUCCGUGUAGGAGCAAGCUGAACGACAUCGCCAGCAAAACGGCGUGGGACAUCAUCGCCAGCAGCACGGACAGCCAGGUGUCCAAGGACCUGGAGCGCAAGGUGCGGAGACUGGGGCCGCGGGGGCUGCUGCGGCAGUUACGGAUGGAGCGGGAACACAGCAGAGCUGGUCUAUGUGGACUAGCCAGCGUGCCCACUGACGACUGUGACGGGUUGGCAAGGUCAAAUGUUGCCAAGGUCAAACGUUUCCCCAUCACCCAUGUGUUGCUGUCGCCUGCUGCUCGCCAGGUGCACGAGGCGAUGAACCGGAUGGCGGAGGAGCGCGAGCUGCAGCAGCAACAACAGCAGAAGCAAAGCGAGGCUGCGCCUCUCACAUCCACGCCGGCUGCGGGACCAGCACGGCAGUCCUCAUUGGCCGCGGCGGAGGCGCUGGGACUGGGUGGCGCCACGACCUCCACCGUGACCACUGCCUUCCUGCCGCCCGCGAGGCCACUCGGGGCGGCGCCCGUGACGGCAUCGCUUGCGCCCGCCACACAGGCGCGCGACUCGCAGCAGCAGCCACAGCCACAGCAGCGACAGGCGCCCCGCUAUGGUCUAGUUGGGAACUCAUAGCCCGCACUCGUGGGCGUGCGUCGGCGAGGUGGCAAACCCUUGGGCGGGCGAGUGCUGUGCAUAGGUCGCAUUGCUCCACGGGGUUGGAACGUCGGAGCUGCAUGUCCGCGGGAGGGAGUGGGCGCGUAACGGAAGCUUCAGGUUGUGCGUUCUGAUACUUGCUAUAGACGAGUCCACGAGAGUGCAGUACGUGCACGUGCCUGAUACCGGUACCAUAAGGCCUCUAUAGAGCAGGUGGCUGGUAGGCAGGUCCGCUGCGAUGAGCCUGUGGCGGCCUUAGGGGAUUGUACUCAUACAUUAGGUUACGAGACUUUUCCCAGACCCCAACACUCAACAAUCAAGUUGCAACAGGAAGGCAUGAGCGCGCGGCUGGUCGAACGCGCGAGUAACUGUACCGACGAGUGCUUGCUGGCAGGCUGGUAGUACGGUAUGCUGGCGGCGCAUUGCAGGGCUUGUCAUCACGGAUGUCCCUGACGGGUUUCACACGGCAAUCAUCGCGCCGGCGUGCUCGGAGGACUGAAGAGUGGAGAGGAACGUCGUCACAUAACGCAUGAUGACUCUGGCUGCUGACGACGGCCAGGAAUGAACGAUAAGCGACGGUACAAUGGAGAACCAGGGCAUUGAACCCCUCAGGAUUUACUCACUUGUAAACUGUAAUCCUUAGCCCCCAGACGACGGCAAAGCAGCAGACACAUCACACGAGUCUGGCUUGUGGCAGCGUCCACGCUGGAUGGCUGCCCCCCCCCGGCAACGAGGCGUUUAGCUACGGGUUUGGCAUGGGCAUGGCCGAACGGGCACACAUACAUUGCCCCAUCUGGCUCCUCACUAUUGCCCCAGCCGAGCUUGCUGCCUCCUGGUCCCCUUACACUCUCGUGCCGCUCGUUGUCAUGCACCUGCCGUGUAGGCCGGCACACCUGCCUGGCCCCCGGCCCUGACAACACGUGUGAGAUGAUUCAGCCUGACCACCAACACCCCACAAAUCAUUUACGCCCAACAGUGCUUUCCGCCGUCGCUUUCCAGCCGCAGUCUUCAGUACAGCUGGUCCGGGAUGAGCACCUGCAGCCGCGGACAGAAGCCCGCGUCAGUUGCAGAGGCUCGCCGGUGGGAGUUUGAAAGGUGCGCAGCCACCAAAAAAGCAGCGCAACUGGGAACGCCGCUACAAAUCACAAGCAGCAUGACGCCAUGCAGACGUGGGUCGCUGCACCACGCCGUCCUCAUGACUCCUAUUCACCCGACCCACCCACACACACACCCACACACCCACCCAGCCACCCACCCACCCACCACCCCGUCGCAACCCCCUGACCAACCAUGUGCAUGUCUCUGGCCGUCUCCUCCAGGCUGAGUGUUUCAAAGUCGCCUGUGCUGUAUAACACUCGCGCCUCCCGCUGCGCUGCAUACACCUCCUGCGAACGCGGCACAGGAGCAGGGCGGGUUGUCGCGUGGGCGUGAGCAUGCGCAAUGCAACCCAACGCGUGGGCUUUCGGAGUAGACGGCAUCCCUACCGGUAUCCUACAUGGUAACACCCCCCCUUUUCGUGUCUGCGGUUUCUUACUGGGAUUGUCCAAACCCCCUGUCCAAGUCCAAACCCCCUGCCCACCUGGAUCUCGAUGAGGUACCACAGGUUGUCAUCUGGCCAGAACAGCUCCGCGUGCCGCCCCACCAGCCCGUCCCCAAUGUCCUCCAGCAUCAGGUAGCGCACGUUGCCGCCCGUGCUGGCCUGGGGACGACUGGAGGAGGCCUUGUAGCCUGGGAAAAAAGAGGCGGGUGAGCGCGUUGCAGGGGCGAGGAGCGUCAGUUGAGGUCAGCGCGAGCCUAGCUGAUAGGAGUGACGAAGCGCGAGCGAACGAGUGCAGCGGAGCAGGUGGGUCCACGUUCGCUCCAGCGCUGAGUUGGCCCUGCUCAAACCAAUGCACACCAAAGCUAGUGCCAGGACAGACCAGAUCAGCCCGCCGCAGCUGCUCUCCAUAACCGCUUCAGCAAGUCAGUCAUUCCCCAUCCGCACUUCGCCGCUCACCUGCUGGCGGCGGGCGCAUGAAGGGCACUGGGUUGUUGGCCUCCGCCGCCGCCCCCGGCUCCUCGUAGGCGGGCAGCGCCUCGAUCUGGUACUCCUCGAAUGUGGAUGGCUGAGCAAGAGGCGGUGCCGGGCCAUGUGAGGGGUGUGAGAGGGCAGGGUAAGAGUUCGUGCUAGGUGGUGGGCGGUAGCAGCCCGAGUGCUGUGACGUACGGUGCGUGGAGCAUGUGCAUGAGUGGCAUCCCCAUACAUCCGCACUAACAUCAUGAUAGCGGGUUACCCCCAGGCCAGUGCCCUGAUUUCCAUCCCUGUUUUUGCUGGCAACCCACGGUCACGCUGACUCAGAAUGCUGCCGCGCCGCCCACACUCCCGCCGUUUCCGCCCUACCCCUGCCAACAGACUCCGUUCGCACCUGUGAGUUGAGCGGCAUGGAUGCCGCUGCCGCCUUCUUCUUAACCUGCUGCCCGGCUGGGGUGGGCGCCCCGCCUCCCCCGCCGCCGUCCUCGUCUCGCGGCCGCUUGCCCUUGCUGGCCACGUUGGCCGCCGCUGCCGCCUUCUUGGGCGCCGCAGCAGGCGCGGCCGCGGGCGGCGGCGGCAGCGAUAGCUCCUGCUGCAGCGACAUGUUGAACUCGUCCAGUCGGGGCGUCUUGCCGCGGCCCGUGUCCAGAGUAAAGUCCUGCAGGUAGUCCAGACCGCCGUCCGGGUUGUUCUUGCGCAACUCCUUCUCCAGGUCGUCCGUCACGCGCUCCAGCUCCAGUGCGUGCAUCUCAAGCAGGUCGUGCGCCUGCUGCGCCAGCUGCACCUUUUCAUCCGCGAACUGCAACAGCAGCUUCUGGCUGGCGGCCACCCGGUUGAGCACCUCGUCAUACUCGGGGCCGGGCUGCUGGUAGGCUGGGGGCAGGCUGACCAGCGCGCUGGUGUUGGCCUGCACCUCAGCUGACAGGUCGUUGCACUUCUCAUCUAGCGCUUUAAUGGUGUUUAGAAUACGCUGUAGCUCCGUCGGUAGCGUGCCUGUGCUCUCCACGAAAGACUCCAGAUACAUGACGUUCGCUGAAUUGUGAAGUGCCAUGACGCACGGCUGUAUAACGAGCCUAGUAAAGCUAAUAGGUGCGGUAACAAGGUGCGCAAAGACUAAAGCUCGGGGGCCCGGUCAAAACUUGCUGCCCAGCGCGUCACAUCUUAAUGGCCAUGCAAAAGACGCAUAGUAUGCAGCGUGUUAGUAGUCGUGUCAAGUCGUGUCAGUGCCCAGCGCGGGAAAAGGAUCAAACCUUGUCCAAAACCAGCUAAGCUGACAACAAUCACGAAUAAGCUAAUGCGUCUUUAGCGAUAAGCAACAAGCGGAAUGAAAGGCGGACAUUGCGAUUGUAUGCGGCAUGCGCUGGGGCCUGCUGCCUCUGCUGUAAACUGCAGUACUCUACCCUACUGCCUAUGUCAUUUAACCAGUACAGAUGUCCUUACAAAUAGUAUUAAGGGACCUCGACGAAUCGAAACCUGCACUUGCACGACUCGCAAUUCUCGGCUAGGCUUGCUCGAGAGCCAGGACCCAUAUGGAUAGGAGCGGCUUCACCCGGAGGCAUGGCCAAUCAUGCUUGCUAGGGCAGUGGACUGGCAGCUGUAGACCAAACUCUGUCGUGUGCCAGGCGGGUAGGCAAGCGGCGAGCCGCCGUGUCUGCCCCGUCAGCGCGUGGCCGCAGUGCGCAAGCAGCUUGCGUCAGCGUUCUGGCUGCGCUGCUUCCGGCCCUGUGCACACGCACCAUGAAGCUGCCAGCUGGUCGGCAAGCGGCCCCAGCGUCAUCGGCGCUGGCGCCAGCAGCGAUGGCGACGCGCAGACCAGCUCCUCCCCGGCGGCAGGGGCAGCAGCUGACUCGCCGCCGGCGCAGUGGCAUGACGGUGACGUUCUGGAGCUGACCCUGGCAGACGGCCGCAGCGUAUAUGCGGAGGUGGAGGUGCCGGGCGCAGGGGCAGGGGCAGUUACUGCAUCUGUGUCAGGUACGGGAGCAGGUGGGGGCCGUGGAAGCUCAGCACAAGGACGUCAGCGCCAGCAGCAACAGCAGCAGGCACGGCGGUCAGGACGGCACCCACCUGCACCACCACCCGCAGUGGCGGCUGUGGCAGGAGCCAGCGCCCCCGCCAACUUCUCACCCCAUGUCAUAUGUAAUGGCGCCCGAUACAAACUGGAGGCGCACGAGGGCCAGGCUGCGUGGGUGCUGCGGGCAACGUCAGGUGCGCGUCGUUUGUUUAGGCCUACAGGAUUGCCCCUGCAUGUUCGUAAAGAGAUCUAAUCGGGCUUCAGCAGCAAUUCAUGACGUUUGGUACCGUAUCCGCUGCUGUUGCGCUUCACCUCCCCUUGCGCGCCUGUUCAAUACUGCCCUCCCGGCUGCAGGCGCGCUUGCGGCCGGGGACCCCCUGUUGGCCCUGAUGGCCACACCGCCCAAGCCACACACUGCCGCGCUGCGGGCGUGGGCGCCGCUGGCGUCUCAGCUGCUGCGACCUCCGGCGGGAGCUGCCCCUGCAGCACCGGGCUCGGUGGACGUGACCGCGCCAUCGGCCUCCAGCUCGCCGCCAGCCCCAGGCAGGCGCGUUGCGCCUGUGGGGGCGGUGCUUGAUGGCUGUGCUGUGACGACGGUGCGGCGUGUGGGUGGACUGCAGGAGCUGCAGCAGCAGGUGGCAGACAACCCCAGUCUGUGGUGUGACGGGUCAGGUGCGCCAGCCGCUUGGAGGGUGGCUGCUGUCACGGGACCAGUAAGCUCCGUGCUUGCUGCUGCAGCAUACGGUAACGCCGGCGGGGGCCGUCCAGUGUUGCAAGCCGUCCUGCGUGCGCCGCGUAGCGCCGGGCAUUAGUGUCAAGGGCCAGUUGUGGUGUACGAAUGACACCUGCCGGAUCAAAUUUGUUUGAUAGCAGAGCACUCAGUUGCUGUAGACCUCAAACGACCUACCCCACCCGCCCUGCCGGUCCCUAGGCCCUGGCGAACCGCCCCUGACCCCCGACCAGCUGGCGCUCUACACGGCCGCCGAGCUGGCGUGCCUGGCCGCAGGGCGCCGCGGCGUGGUGCUGCUGCAGCUGCACGUGGGCUGGCAGCAGGCGGCCGCGGCGCCGCCCUACGGCCCCUUCAAGCCGCUGGUGCUGCGCCUGCUGCGCCAGCUGCUGGCCAGCCCUGGCAAGGAGCUGCAGCUGGUGUCAUUCGCCAGCGCCGCGCCGGACCCAAGCAGUCCAGGCGGCAAGUCAUCCGCGGGACUGACCAUGGUGCUGUGUGCGGACAAGGAGCCGUUCAGGUCGUGGGGCGCACACCUGGCCGGCUUUGGAUGUCAGGUGCGUGCGUGCGGGCUUUCGUGGUAAUACCGAGCCGUGUUCCUGAACCCGUUAGCCCAGCUGCCAUGUCCACCCACGGAGCCGCGGCGUUGGGGCUCGCACCCUGUCUCCUUGGCAAGCUUCCUCUUUGAACGCGCUCCCCAGGCCGCACUGGAGGCCCAGUCCCCCUACUACAAGGCGCUGAUUGGGCGGGUGCUGGGCUACAGCCCCGACAACAUCGCGCACCACAUCCGGGUGAGCCGCGAAGGGCGGUGGGUAGCGCAGACAGGCUGGCAGGCGUGGCCAGACCUAAAUGGACGGAUGACGGGACUGAGCCAACCCCCCUCCUCCUUGCCACUGCAGGAGAAGCACGGGGCGCCGCCUUCCUCCGAGGUACUGGCGGCGGUGGAGCGGCAGCUGGGCGCCCUCAGCACAAAGCAGCCGCAGCUGCCCUGGACGGCGGGGGCGAGGGGCAGCCGCAAGAAGGCGGCUGCAUAGCCGCAUGCCUUGUUGGGCUGAUGGCGGUUGUAAACUAUCAGAGAUUCAGAGCGCGGAUGCCGGUAGUGCACGUUACAGUUGGAAUGUCGCCAGCUGUGAAAUCUCAGGACUGAUGGCGGUAGGUCAGUAGGUGGUCGCGAUGCGGGCACAGCGGCAGCGACACAGACAGCAGGACAGCAGCCUCGUGGUUACAGCUCGACGGGAAGCAAAAGCACGAUGUCACCAUCGCGUACCCGUCUAGAUACCAGACUCAACCCAGAGCUAUCAAAUGCACCGCCUGCGUGUAUCUGCUGUAAUGCUAUCGCCUGCUUAUGGCGCCCUAGAUUGUUACGCCAGGACACCGGAAUCCAGCUAGCCGACUAUGAAUGCCGGCUGCAGUGGGUAUUGAGUUCCACCCGAGGGUAGACCUAAGGCAUCGCCAUCAAUUCAUUCAAUUGCCAUGUUCCUUAGCCAUGCUACUCACGAUACGUAGUGAGCACCGGCCAUUGGGUCACUCUAUGGUGCAUUCAAGGCCUCCUGCCUAUUGAGUUGCCUGGAGUUGCUAAAUCCGCUCCUGCCGUCUACACCAAAUCCUAGCGCGCAUGCCCCUGCUCACACCGACGGCCCAAAGUCCCGAUUCUUGAGUAUGGCCGGCGCCACCACCGACCAGCCGUACAGCAGCGCACACGCCCAGCUGCUGGCCACCUUGACCCAGGUGGAGCCCCAGGAGGAGCGCGUGUCGGGCGUGAAGCCGGGCGAGAAGUGUGACACCUGCCAGUUGGUGAACAGCAUGGCGAUGUAGGCGGAGCUCCUGCGGGCGCGCGUGUGUGCGCGGACGUGCAAAACCCAAGGGGCAUCAGUCUAGGAAGCACGUGCUGGCGAUACACCGCAAUUGGAGUGAGCGCGGAACGUGAUACGCACGCGUUCAGUGCAGGGCCCGGGGGGUGACGGGCUUUAUGUUCGGUGUUCUGAGGCGGCCAGGAGCAGUGCAGGCUGUUCAGGUGCACGCUGCCGCGGGGUCUCACGUGCAGAACACCACGUGGAAGAAGUCUGGGCGGUAGGGCAGCUCCGCCUCGUCGCCGCCCUUGACCCCGAACAUGUCCUUGCUGGAGAUACCUGGGGGUAGAGGUGGAGGCAAGAGGGGGAUGGGUUGACGUUUGGCAACCGGCGCGUUGAGGGAACGGCUGCGUGACAGCCGAAACAGUGUGUCGUGAGGUAGCGACAGACGUGUGUCUGCAGCGGCCAACAGCGCGCAGCAGACGCUGCAUGCAGGACUAGGCAGGUCUAGGCGGGCCGCGUACGUAUGAUGCAUCUGAGGCGGGUCGGUUAGGCGGCGCCCCCACAUGGGGAGGCGCCCCCUGGCAUUACAUGCAACUCCCCCCCCCCCCUUGUGGCCCGCCGCGCACCCACCUGCCGAGUAGGUGGAGUACAUGACUGCAGCCAGAGCGAUGAAGAACGCGACCACACCCACCCAGCCCGCGCUCACGCCGCCGGACCGGGCGCAGUCGCUGGGCACGGGCUCGGACGCCAGCGCUGAGUAGAUGAGGUAGGAGCAGUAGAGCCACACGCAGCCGCUGGUGAGCAGGCCCGCGGAGGCCGCCCGGCCAGGGAUGAACAGGACGCCCACCAGCGCCAGACCAAUGAUGAGGUUCCACGUCACGAAGAAGAUGUUCUUGGAGGAUGGGGGGAGGCAUGGGAGUGAGGCAAGGUUCUUGACGAGCACGGGAAGGAGCACAGAUUCCGUUCUUAGGUCAAAGCGCCGGGCGCUUACGAGGCGCGUACUUAGCACGAAACCUAGUGUGCAUGUACACGUGCCGGUACGCCGUAUGCGAGGACAGUGAAUGCUCCAGCACGGUGGGGAGGCAAGUAUGCACAAACGCAAGGCGCCCAUCACCACCAAAACCCGAGUCGUGGACACCACUCACUAGGGAGCAUGAUGCGCGGGGCGCAUAGAAGUGGUAGUCUAUGCCGGUGAGGACCUGAACAGGGGGAAGGAGGUGAGGGGUAGGUGAGUGGCGUUGAGAGCCUGAGGCAUGGGCCACAUGCGCAUGAGGUCUACCGGCACAGGCCCCUUUCCUCCUGUGCACGGCACCCGGCGGUGAACAUUUGGGCCCCUGACCCACUCGUGCAGGUCCCGGCAACCUCCCUCCCCCCCCCGCCGCGCUCACCAGUCCCAGGCAGAAGGCCGCCACUGCCCCGCUAAUGAGCACCGCCCAGGCCGCCUUGUUGUCCGUAUCCACAAGCCAUUCGUUGAUCUGCAAGGCCGCGCAAGGCCAUGCGCAGCAAGGGCAAACUAUUACAAAAGCCGGAGGAACGGUUAACGGCCAUUGCGCUUCACUGUUCUUGCCAUAGUUCCCUACCCACUCCCCACUCCCCCCACCCGAGCCCCCGCUAUCUCCACCCCUCCCCCCCACCUCGUACACGAAGUUGACCAGCAGUAUGAGCUGCAGCACCAGGAACAGCCCACUGGCGUAGCGGCUAAACUGGCCGUAGCCGUACAAGAUGGAGCUGGGCAACCACAUGAAGCCGACCAGCAGGCCCAGCCAGGACAGCACCUGCAAGUGGGAGGUGGGGUAGGUGGGCAGGCGGGCACUACGACGCAGGGCAAGCGCGAGGGGUUAUGGUGGAUGGGUACCAGACCCGAUGCCCUGAAACACCGCCCUCAUCACGUGCAUCUCGAUAAGCUCCCCUGCCCUCCGCGCACCUGCCACACCCACAGCCCUGCGUGUAGGUUCACCCGCACGUCCUCCACCCUCGUCAGGGCAACGCAAGCCAGGAGGUGUGCCCCGAAGAACACCAGGUUCGCCAGAGACACACGCAGAGCCACCUGAGGCCGGAGCGCAGGAGCGAGCGACACCAAAUGGACAAGGCAAGGUGCUGAGUUGUACUAUACAUGGCCCCGCAGCCACAUUGUCAGACAGAUAGGAUUAGCCUGCGCGCCCCCCAGUUCGCUAAUGCCACCCACACUACACCCCCACCACCACCACCACCACUACCUCCACCCGUCACCCACACACCUGCUGGCCCGCGCACUCCUCGACGGCGUCUUGGUUGUCAGCCUGAGGCAUCAGGCCCGGAGUAAGGUGAGGCAUGUGUUGGGUGGCGGUUUUCGUUCAUCAUGCGCGUCGUAAUGCUCGGCUUAUGCACUGGCCCGUCACCAGGAGUCAGGGGCUAGGUACCCGACCGCGCCCCAGCCCAGCCCCCGGCGCUCACGGCUCACCGACAGGCAGUCACUGAACGAGCUGAUGUUGUUGGCCAUGAAGCCGCCGCCGUAGUCCCUCAGACACCACACCUGAGCGUGGGUGCAUGCCGGCGUGCGUGGCGUGUGCGUGUUGAUGUGCAAUGCAGCCGUGCCGAGAGGUUGCGGUGCGCAAUGUGAAGUAGUACCUUGCAUCACCUCUUACCGCGAUAGCUGUCGCCGAAAAUCCAACGCAGUAGAACCAUUUGGCUGCUGUGAACCGAGUUCUCAAGCCCACGUCCCAGGCAUUGCAGCAGAACAACGCCCGGCACAUGCUGCCCGCUGCCUGCCUGCUGAGUCCGCUACCUGCUACCUGCUACCCGCGGCAAGUCGUCCACGCUCUGAGUGCCACCGGCUGGUAAGGCGCCUGGGCUGUUGUGGUCACGAUUGUCUCUGUGCGAGGCGUUGGGCGGGAUACGUAACUGGACGGGUGCAGGUUCCCCAGCAGGUCCUGUCCCGCAGGGUCGGCAGCGGCGCUACCAGGCAGCGGGUACCUACUAAUCGUUACCUUCAGACGUGGCUGAGGGUGCGAGUAUGUAACACAAGUAUCAAGUAUAGCAGAUAUAAACAGUAGAGGCCCAAGCUACUUGCAAAAGGCUUCCGCUGUCUGCAGCUGCACUCCAGGACCGCGCCAAAAUGAAACAAAGUCUGAAUGCUUUGUAAGCUAUCAAUAGCGUUUUCUCAUGGAUUGGACGCUCGCGGACGCCCAGUUUGGAAAGGCCAAGACUCGUCCGACCAGUUGAAGCCGAGAAUGCGUUUCUUGUAUAAUCACAAAGAAGCAAGAAUGUUGUGCAGAUAGGGAAUAUUGAGUGAUGCAUGGUAAGCGAUCCGAGCUGCGUCAGUGGUAUACGAUCAAACAAGGGAAACUGCGGGGAGCCGUGUCUUGUGUCCACCACGGUCCACCAGCCCGACCCCCCCGCCUCCAUUCUGACCCUGGUAAUGGUCCUGACACUCGACAUCUAGCUGCCCAAUUCAGCUCACACCGAAUUCAUAACAUGCAAUAGCUACACCUAUUCCAGUCAAAGCUUGAUGAGCCCUUCAACUGACACAUCGGUGGGCGCCGGUGUCUCCAGGUUGGUUCUGUGGCCCAGCGUGUUUUCCGGUGCCUCCAGCGCCUACCCGCCAGCCGUCCGCCAGCCCAGCCAUCACGUCGACCAGCGUCUACGCAGUUUGCCAGCGGCGGCCCUCGUCAGCCCUCUGUGUUCAUCGUCCAUUUCGUCUGCGCUACUUGCGGUUGACAACCUUUUCCAUCAUCCUGCGUCCUACUGGUUGGGCUCGGCCCAUAACCUCUCGACCCCGCCCAGACACAGCCUACAUCCGACUUCAAGGGGGGUCGCUCACGAGGGCACCAGGCGCGACAGUAGCGUGUAUGUUCCUCCCGCCACCAGCAGUACCCCGCUGGCCGGAGUCACCCAGGCCGAGUACUGCCGCAGAGCCAGGAGCUGCUUCACAGUGCCCUGAGGGAAAGAAGGGACAGGACGAGGGGGCAGGGAACGAUAUGGACGCGAGCAAAAUGAAAGAAACGGGGACUAGACAGGGGGCGCAAGACGGGGGCGUGUAUUCGUGCUGUAUGUGUACCUGCAUGUAACACUGCGCCUUCUCGUAGCUCCACCUUCAUGCCGCCGCACCACUAACGCACCGCUGCCGAUCAGGUGUAACCCAGACACCAGCGCACAUCCCGAAUUCUCAACCAAGAAGCAGCCUCAUCCACCCUGCAAUCCUUAUGUCCUCUAUCUCUGCCCUCUGCGCCUUCUCCCUCAGCGCACGCACCGUGAACGAGGCCGCCAGCAGCAGGGGCGCCACGUAGCCGCACGUGUAAGCCAGCAGCAGGCUGCCGCCUUCCAGCGGGUCGCGGGUGGACGACACGUACGCCAGAAGCGUGGCUAGAACCGGUGUGCUGUUGAGGGGAAUGGAGUGUUCGGAUCGCUUGCGCCAUGACAAAUAACAAUUAGAUGCGACUCAGGUGGGGUGCUAGUGGUUACUGGGAUGUAUGGAGGGAAAUGCAAGCGUCGCGAGAGGCGUAGUGCGACUCAUUCAGACGUAAGCACUGCUCAAGCUGACGAUGAAAGGGCUACAAGUCCCGCACAUGCGCCACACGCGCACAUAAUGCACAUGCAAGCCAAGCCCGCUCAUACGCCCACCCACCUGCACGGAGAUGCCGCCAGUGCGAAUGUGGCGCCCGCCAGGUACGCCUGCAGCGCUGGGGGCACUGGGGCCUUGCGCACGUCCACAUCCGGCAUCAGCGAGGGCAGCUGCAGCUGCACCACCUCCAGCAGGUUCAGCCCCAUCAGCACCGCCACCAGCCCCACCGCGAUGGGCAGCUCGUUGCCGAUCUGGCCGUAGGCGCGGCCCAGGAAGGAGCUGACCACGCCCAGCACCGCUAGCGUGGUGGCCAGGCCGAACGAGAACGACACGGCCUGCAAGUGAAGGGCCAGUCAUUGAGACUAUGUGAUGCCCCUGGCGCGCUGUCAGGACCCGUGCAUCCCAUCCACCCGAUACUGGCAACUGCUUUUAUAGCUCACCUGCAGUCCCAGGUUGGGCUUGCUGGCACCAUUGCCGUUGUCGUCCUGGCUAUACCCGCCGAUGUACCCGAUGGUCAGGGGCAACACGCUGAGCGUGCAAGGCGACAGGCUCGUCACCAGACCCGCACCCAGCACUGCCAGGUAUGUCAACGGCGUGACACCUGCGUGUUCAAAAUCCAAGCGCGCUUUAGCGAGCUGGCCCCAGCGACGUCUGCCACACACGACGCACCAGUGAGUUGCUGCGACACCAGCGCAUCGGCGCUUUGCCCUGCAGCGAAAAGCCCUUGUACCAGAUCCUGGGCUUGGUCAGAUAGUUCAUACAGUUCCUGGGGCAGCAACGAAACAGCAAAUUAUCAUCCAUCAGAAUCUCUUUGUGUAUUCCGGCCUCGACUGCUGCUUACCUGGCCGGACACCGCACGCAGCUGACGUUUUAGCGAUUUUGAGCUAGCGACGCGUACAGGACAUGGCUUGAACAGUGCCAGCUGACGACUAGGCAGCGCGUACAAGUUGGUGUGGCACUGAGGCUGCGCUAAAUGCAUGGCGGUUCGCAUAAUGUUUGCAGUGAGAUUGAAAUGCUGAGCUGUAUAAACAAAUCCAGCUGAAGCCUUGGCAAGGCAGGCUGCAUUUUGGCUGCUGUGUGCUGCAUUGGCUGCGGUAGACUCUCCACCCCCCAACCCCCAAUCCGGCGCCCGCCCCGCCUCCACGCAAACCAUGAAACACGCAACAUCCGUCGCAAUUCACACUCCACGCACCAACAACACGUCAACAACUGCGCAAACUUGUAACACGCGCCCCGAGCCUCGCCCCCCCACACACCCACACAAACGCCAGCUACAAAUGGCCAAGCCCCAAACUGGGAUGCAAGUACACAUACGAAAUUAAUCAGGUAGGGUUGAAGAGCUAGUCCGCGACACGAUGGCCCCCCCCAUCAGCCGACGCCCGUGGAGCGAUGAGAGAGCUCACCCUGCGCUUGCACCACCGCACACGCGCCAACCAACGGCGAAAUGGCCGCGCAUUUGCACAGUGAAAGCGCCAACACAUCCCCGGACUAGCCCGCCAACAAGCUUCGCCCGCAGUCGGUUGCAAGUGCCUGGCGAACCUCCAAAUCCCAAACUGACCCACGCCCCGCCGAAGCACGCCAUAUCUGCACACUGCGCGGCGCGUAACACCGCGCAAGCGCACCCGAAGCCCAUUGAGGUGCCCAUCCGUGCAACCCGUCCCUGCCGGCGCCUAAACUUGUCCGCCCGCCCACCCACCCACACGCCCGCAAACCACCACAGCACACCACGUUGAGCACUCCAACUGCACGCACGCGCUCUGUACAACCACCAGCACAAUCCCCGAGCCCCCAAGUCGGACGGGGCCUGUGAGGCAGCCUCCCGCCUCGCCCCACAAGCCCACAGCCACGCCUCCCCACAACCCCACUCACCCGACCUGCUCGCCGGGGCCGCUCGCCUGCGCUGACCAACUGCUUUGGCUGCUCCAGGCUGCCGAAGCCAGCCCUCCCGCCCCAACUGCUGAAUUCGCUGCUGCAUCCAUGAGGCACAUAGAGAGGCAAUAGUGUGGACAUUUCUCUCGUUACAAUCCCUUCACCACCCGGCUGCACCGGCCGCACACGCUCCACAGCGCCAGCACGCCCGUCCAAAACGCGCGAACUGAACGUUCGCCGCAUAGCUCCAGCCGCCAACUCAGCUGCAUCGCAUGCGGCGGCCGCCAGUUCCACGCCCAGAGCUCCACUCCAGCUUGCUACAGGCCGCUUACUCCUCGUCCUCAGCCUCGUUGUCGGCAAUGUUGAAGUACCGGAGCUCGUAGACGUUGCGGUCCUUGUUGGAAGCAAUGACGCGCAGCCAGUCGCGCACGUUGUGCUUCUUCAGGUACUUCUUGGUGAGGUACUUCAGGUAGCGCUUGCUCAGCUGGGACUCAGCAGUCACGGUGACCUUGGUCUUCUCCUUGGCCACCUUGAUAGAGUCGCCCAGCACGCCGGUCUUGCCGUCCACCUUGAUCUUGUCCAUCAGGAACUUCUCAAACGAGGAGAUGUCCAUAAUCUUGUCCUCCACCGGCUUGGAGCAG